rnacentral:rRNA from 1 species
UACAGAGGUCUCAAGCGUUGUUCGGAUUCAUUGGGCGUAAAGGGUGCGUAGGUGGCGCUGUAAGUCGGGUGUGAAAUUUCGGAGCUUAACUCCGAAACUGCAUUCGAUACUGCGGUGCUUGAGGACUGGAGAGGAGACUGGAAUUCAUGGUGUAGCAGUGAAAUGCGUAGAGAUCAUGAGGAAGACCAGUGGCGAAGGCGGGUCUCCUGGACGAGUUCCUGACACUGAGGCACGAAGGCCAGGGGAGCAAACGGG